AAUAGAAGGCGAGACAUUUCAGCGUGUGCACUCUUGUUCCUCAUAGUUCAGUAUUUUUGUAAUGGUCAAUCAAAACAACACUUUAAACAAGAGUGCACACGCUGAAAUGUCUCGCCUUCUAUA
rnacentral:sRNA from 1 species